rnacentral:lncRNA from 13 species
CUUGGACUUGUCCCUGCUCCAGCAUCACAAAUGGUAAGCCACAAGGAACAGGAGUUAACUGUUGCUGCUCAGGAACCAAGUCUGUCUGCUUCAAAUUCUGGCUCUGCCACUGGAUAAUGGCCUCCAGCUGCAUACAUGUUUCUGCAAGGGGCAUGGAAUACUACAUAACCAUUAUACCAUGGAAUACUACACAGCCAUAAAGAAGGUCUUUUGCCAAUGGCUUAAAACUGCAAUUCCACAGGCUGUACAUGAAGCAUGGCUAGGGAGGCCUCAGGAAAACUUACAAUUGCGACAGAAGGUGAAGAGGAAUGAAGCAUGACCUACAUGGCUGGGGAAGGAAGAAGAGCAGAAACAGGCGAUGCUACAUACUUUAAAACAACCAAGUCUUGUCAGAACUCACUGUCAUGAGAAAAGUAAGGGGAAGGGAAAAUCUGUACCUGUAAUCCGAUCACCUCCCACCAAGGCUCUCCUCCAACAUUGAGAAUUACUGUUUGACAUGAGAGUUGGGUUGGUGCACAAAUGCAAACCAUAUCAGCAUGAUUUCAAG